rnacentral:rRNA from 1 species
CCUACGGGGGGCAGCAGUGGGGAAUAUUGGACAAUGGGCGAAAGCCUGAUCCAGCCAUGCCGCGUGUGUGAAGAAGGCCUUCGGGUUGUAAAGCACGUUCAGUGGGGAAGAAAGCCUUGGGGCUAAUACCCUCGAGGAAGGACAUCACCCACAGAAGAAGCACCGGCUAACUCCGUGCCAGCAGCCGCGGUAAUACGGAGGGUGCGAGCGUUAAUCGGAAUUACUGGGCGUAAAGCGCGCGUAGGCGGUCUGAUAAGCCGGUUGUGAAAGCCCCGGGCUCAACCUGGGAACGGCAUCCGGAACUGUCAGGCUAGAGUGCAGGAGAGGAAGGUAGAAUUCCCGGUGUAGCGGUGAAAUGCGUAGAGAUCGGGAGGAAUACCAGUGGCGAAGGCGGCCUUCUGGACUGACACUGACGCUGAGGUGCGAAAGCGUGGGUAGCAAACAGGAUUAGAUACCCGAGUAGUC